UACAGAGGGUGCGAGCGUUGUUCGGAAUUAUUGGGCGUAAAGGGCGCGUAGGCGGCGCCACAAGUCACUUGUGAAAACUCUGGGCUCAACCCAGAGCCUGCAGGCGAAACUGUGGUGCUGGAGUAUGGGAGAGGUGCGUGGAAUUCCCGGUGUAGCGGUGAAAUGCGCAGAUAUCGGGAGGAACACCGGUGGCGAAGGCGGUUCUCUGGGCCUGUACUGACGCUGAGGAGCGAAAGCGUGGGGAGCGAACAGG
rnacentral:rRNA from 1 species